UCUGCCUCCCAGACUUUGGGUCAAGUUUUGCUGCUCUCCGUCAUCUCUGUCUGUCUGUCCUUUAGUAUCAUGGCUGACUCCUUGGCCUCAGCGUGUAACACCCUGCACGACACUGCCUCAGCUGUCUCUUUCUCCUCUUCCGGACUCUUGGCUUUACCACUGCAAAUGGAGUUUUAGAUUGUUCUGGCAGCCACAACAGGCUAGGUUCUGCCAUUGGUCCCACUAUACCAAUUUAAGAGAUCCAGGCUCUGCUGUUCCUGGAAGUCAGUCACUGACUGCGUCAGUCACCUUUUGGGAUCUGAACCGGACAUUGUGAAAAAGAUGACAAUUUCCUUCUGGGAAAAGCGCUGAGUAGCUGAGCAGGCCCGGACACUUGGUGCUCCAGAGUUUAGUGCUUCAGAGGACGCUGCGGAGGCAUGGAUGGGCUCCCCAUCUGCACCGAGUGUGGCCGUGGCAGCAAAGGAGGACUCUCAGGCUGUCAGACCAGCACCACAGCUUGCAUUCCCUGAUGGAGAUUUCUUGCAGCAUCUUCUCCCAUGGAAGGACAGCUCAGAGCAGGGCGUAAGGAGGAGCCAAGGAGACGGAAGCACCCCCUCUCUUCAGCCACAUGGACAGGAGAAGACCCCGAGGAACUGAGAUUCCAGGAAGAGCACCAGAGGGAAACCUGUAAGCGACAAAGUCCAGGACUUGAACCUGGGUGGACAGUGUUUUAGCUCUAGCCUCUUCACCUGUGGACGUGCUGGGAACUUUGAAGCCAUGGAGUCCUCUAUUUUCCGGAGCCAAAUUGAGCCUCUCCACUUGGGAGGGCCAACGAGUGUGUGAAGAUCUCCCAGUUGCCACCUAGCGUAGUGGCUUCCUGAAGGUCAGCAUCAGCUUCCCACUUCUCCGGUGUGUGUGAGGGAUUCCCUCUUUUCCUGCACUCCCGGAAGAGGGGUUCAAGCCUCCAGAGCCAGCCAUACUCCUAGAAGAGCACCAUCGAACCUUCGAAGAGAUGAAUUUUACAGAUGGGUAUGUUGAGGCAGCCGAGAGAGAGCGAGCAAUGACUCAGGGCAUGAGCGAUGCCAAGUGUCUCUCCCAGGAUCCCAAGGGCCCAGGCUUCUGAGCACAGCCACACAGCGUCAAGCCACAGAGCAUUAAGUAUCAAGCUGCAGUUCUUCUCUUGAACUGGCAAUUCAGCAAAGCGUUCUUUGCAUGAACAAGAUGAGCAAAAUGGGUUUGGAAAGAUCAGUCUGGAGAUCCACGGAGACUGAAUUGGAAGAGGUCUUUGAAGUAUUUGAAGAUGACCUAUCCUUCUGAAAUAAAGAACUAUCCUCCACUGCAUCAGCAACCACUGGAGCCAAAAUCCCCGCCUGUGCCUGAUUGGCAGAAGAGGAGCUAGAUUAUGUUCCUGAGUAGCCCUUGCCUGCCUAUAGCCCCACGGGCAUGACUGGUGUAUCGGCUUCAACCACUGGCAGCAGCCUCCCCCUCCAUCAGCCCCACACUUCACUCUCCAGUUCUCCCAGCAUCCUGUGCGGCAGGCCUCAGCUCCACCUCUACCCUCUGGACUGGCUCAGGUCACACGGUUGUUAAGUAGCAGAACUUGGUUCACACUUGGACUGGCUGUCCCCAAGGCAAGCUGGUAUUUAUGACAGAGAAGCAACCAGUGACCUGGGAAUGGAUGAAGGCUCUCAGACAUUCAUCACAGCACUCCAAACAAUGGCAAAAAACUGGAGAUAACCCGAGAGUCCCAAUCUAGAAGAUAUUUAAGUUAAUGAUGGAUCAGAAUAAUGGAAUUCCCGUGUUAUGAUAAACAAAAAAAUAUGAAAACAACCUAAAUUGAGAGGAUAAAAAAAAUACUAGGGAAACUAUCCACAUUCCAAGUGGGCACCCAGAAGCUCCCUCGAGGUGAUCCAGAGGUUCAAUGCUAAGAAAGCAACCACAGAUGAACAGAAAAAUGCGUGGCAAGCAUGCUCCCUGCAGCCUGCUCGCUGAUGACGAAAGCCUUGGAACAGCAGCAGCCCUCACGGGGAAGGUUUGGCGUGGCUGGUGAUCGCGGCACAGGUCUAUAACAGGACACCUGCAGUCCCCAAUCCCACAGGACCUUAGAGCUAGCAGAUUGGCCCGAGGCUUGCUGCAAGUUUAGCAUGUCCAAAGCCUAACCUUGAACUAAAGAGGCUUUUAAUAGCCAUCCUUGACCUCAGCAUGGAUAUUUUCGCAAUGUUUUCUUGUCUUGAUGUUGCCUUUGAGUCCAGGCUACUUUUGAGGUCCCACCUCCAGUGCUUCAUAAAACACUUUUACCUCAUCUUGCCUUACCACAAUCCAAAUAAUUAUGAAUUCUCAAAUAGCUGGUCCAAAAUUUUAGACAAUAUUCAAAUAAAGGAAUCUUAUUAUGUCACUUAAA